rnacentral:rRNA from 1 species
AGCAGUCGCCGCGGGAAUACGUAGGUGGCGAGCGUUGUCCGGAAUUAUUGGGCGUAAAGGGAGCGCAGGCGGACAUAUAAGUCCAUCUUAAAAGUGCGGGGCUCAACCCCGUGAGGGGAUGGAAACUGUAUGCCUUGAGUGCAGGAGAGGAAAGCGGAAUUCCCAGUGUAGCGGUGAAAUGCGUAGAUAUUGGGAGGAACACCAGUGGCGAAGGCGACUCUCUGGUCUGUAACUGACGCUGAGGAGCGAAAGCGUGGGGAGCGAACAGGAUUAGAUACCCCCGUAGUCCCUGUCUCUUAUACC